rnacentral:lncRNA from 1 species
CAAAUCCCAGGAAUGUACUCCCAUUCCUGGUGUGUGUUUUAAGGAUUUCAACAGGGGUAGCCAGUGAAUUGCUUCAACUGGAUUACCAUUGUAUGAGUAAAAAAUAGAAAUAGAUGGGCUGUAACGUGAAAUAUUUAUUGCAUUUCAUAAAGCACAUACAUAUUCACCAAUUCUUUACAGUCCUUAAUACUGUGAACUAGACAAGGUACAGUGUCGCAAGUGCUCGUAGUUGCCCACUGUAGUGCAAGAAAAAUUUGUGUUCACGCAUAGUCAGUCUUUAUGCAUAUGGUGAUCAUGAGUUGUGUUCAAAGCUAACAAUUACAAAUGUUUUCACAGACAGCAUCUAUGAGUGGGAUCUCCCUGCAAGCCCGAAUGAUGAAAGCAGCGAGGUGGUGUGCAUCCAAGCACAAAAUGGAGCCACCACAGCUGAGGUCGAGCUAUCGGCACAAGGAGGGCCAGCUGACCUGCAACCUCCUGUCCCACCACUGGCUUCCCCGUUACAGGCUACCCCACAAAACCCAGCUCCUGUGCAACGCAGAACGCUCGCAAAGAGGGCAGCUGUUGAAGAAGAGCUUAGCGCCCGCCUUAGCAGCGUUGAGCAAGAUAAUAAACGAAAGACGAGGGAGCACUUGCUCAAGAUGAAGCUGAUGAGAGCUGAACAUGCUCUCCAUAUGAGGCAAUCAAAACAAAUGCAUGAGCUUGACUGUGCUAGCAAAAAGGCUAAGCUCGAGCUGCUAAUGCUGAAAAUAGAUGCCGUGAAAAAAGCAAAUGCCGAAAGCCCUUUCGACGGUGUUCCUGGUCCGGAUUUGGGACUUGUUAUACCUAAAUAAAGAGAUGUUACAUA